rnacentral:lncRNA from 1 species
AGAUUUUAUACAAAGUUGGAUUCAGAAUGUUGCAAUGUAUCAAUACAGUCAACAGUAGUAUGCCGCUGUUCGCAAGUCAUACAUCGAAUCGAUUAAGAGAAAACAAAUCAAGGUUUCAAGCAAAAACUGAGGGAAACGCAUACAAUAUAACAGGAAAACAACGGAACAACAGAAACACUAAAGUGCAACAAAAACAAACGACAAUGCAAACAAACACAGAAACGAACUAUAAGAUAACCAUUGCAAUUUUCCUGGCUUGGUACAGGACAUUUUAAGAAAAAAUGGUGAAUUAAACCAAAUUUGUGGCUAGCCAAACCUCCCGCUUUUAUGGCAAUGUUAAAUACACUAAUACGAUAACAUUACAUGACAGGACUACAAUACAAAUAAAUGGAAGAACAUUCAGGAUAGAAAAAUAUACAAAUUAACAAUAAAAUAAAACAUUACGCAUUCCAAUUGUUAUUAAAGGUACAUAGCUUAUAAUGUAAUACGCCAGGCGCGUGUUUCGUCUACAUAAGACUUAUCAGUGAAGCUCAGGUCAAAAAAGUUAAUAAACCAAACAAAAAUUAAAAGGCUGAUGACCCACAAUUCCAAAAAGGUGUGCCAAAAACGGCGAAGGUUAUCAGCCUGGGAUAAGAACAUCCUAAGUAUUUAGAAUAAUUCAUACUUUUGAAAACAGUAAAUUUAUAAAAAUGACCAUAUAAUUGAUAUACAUGUUAAGUGGUGAUUAACAACAGAAUAAAGACGAAAACGUAAAACAACUAGUCGGCACACAUAAACAUCACAGCCGAAGCACACAUUGUACGUCACCCGACCAGAUCGAUGAACAAAAGAGGCGUCACAGGUAAAUUUCUAAAAAAAACUCCAAAAUUAGUAUAGAUUUCAAGAUUAGGUUUGUAAUAAUGAUAUUUGAUGUUUUAUAUUUAAUAACAAUAAAAACUACAAUACUGUUAUACUAGAAUUGUGUUAGUAAUUAGAAUACAUUGUAUUACUUAGCUAUGUCGGUAUUUCUUCUAAAUCAAACUGUAAAACAAAUGCAUCGUGUAAGUUUGGUUGCUAAAAUCUUAGAAAUGAACUUGGUGAUUUAUUAUCUUUACCUCACACACGAAUAGAAAAUAAAAAAAGUUUUUACAACUACAAACGAUAAGACAUUUAACAAAAUCUGAUAAGUAUCACAAAUACAACAUCAAAACUAAAUAAAUGAAGGUCGAAUAACAAAUACCGUGACACAUCUUAUAGCAUAGCAAAUUCACAGUCAGCAAAACAGUCGCAAUCUGUAAUAGGUCAUGUUCGGUACUUUUAUAAAGAGCAGAUGAUGCCGGUACUGGUAAACCACAAUUUAAGACGUUGUAAAAAUGGCCUUAGUUAGUUUAGGCAAAAACACAUCUUAUGGAUCAACCAAUUCGUGAUGGUGUCCAUAAAAUUUACGGAGUGUCAUUUUUAAUCUUUCCUCAUAACUUUGUUGGAGCAGUUUCGGUGUAUUAAAGGAGCACACUUCUGUAUAUGAAGUCCGUAGGUGAAAAUGCACGAGCAUAACGUAUCAACUGAAUUAUAUAAACGAAGGGCAGAGGGUAUAUUACUGCUGAGAAAUGGGAAAUUGGUAAUUUGGAAGUUGAAAUCGUUCCGUUUGUUUAAUGUGGUCUUGUCCACUUUUGUAAAUAUUGAUGGAAAGAUCAAGGUAUGAAGCAGUCCUUCUAGUAUCAUUAGUAUCCUUAAUUUCAAGUUCACUAGGAUAUAUGAAAUGUAAGUAUUGGCUGAAAUAUGGGUUAUUCAGUGAUAGGACAUCAUCAAUAUAUCUGAAAGUAAAAUUAAAGAAUUUCGCAAGGUGUUCUAUUUUGUCUUUUAGAAGGUUCUGAAUGAAUUCUGCUUCAUACGAGUACAAAAAAAAGUUGGCCAGUAGUGGUGCACAAUAAGUACACAUUGGAAUACCGACUGUCUGUUGAAAUAUAAAUACUCCAAACUCAACAAAUAUAUUGUCGAUCAUUAAGUUUUUUUUAUAAUCAUCUUGUGUAUAUUUUCUGGUAGUUUCAGUGUGGUUCUUCAAAAAAUAAGAAUAAUUAUCACCAAAUACAAAAAAAAUGUAUCUAAGAUUUCACAAAUGCUCUAGGUAAUGUUGUUA